rnacentral:rRNA from 1 species
CCACGGGAGGCUGCAGUGGGGAAUAUUGGACAAUGGGCGAAAGCCUGAUCCAGCCAUGCCGCGUGUGUGAAGAAGGCCUUCGGGUUGUAAAGCACUUUCAGUGGGGAAGAAAGCCUUGGGGCUAAUACCCUCGAGGAAGGACAUCACCCACAGAAGAAGCACCGGCUAACUCCGUGCCAGCAGCCGCGGUAAUACGGAGGGUGCGAGCGUUAAUCGGAAUUACUGGGCGUAAAGCGCGCGUAGGCGGUCUGAUAAGCCGGUUGUGAAAGCCCCGGGCUCAACCUGGGAACGGCAUCCGGAACUGUCAGGCUAGAGUGCAGGAGAGGAAGGUAGAAUUCCCGGUGUAGCGGUGAAAUGCGUAGAGAUCGGGAGGAAUACCAGUGGCGAAGGCGGUCUUCUGGACUGACACUGACGCUGAGGUGCGAAAGCGUGGGUAGCAAACAGGAUUAGAUACCCGUGUAGUC